UUGGGUGGCACGAAGUCAGCGGCUUGACGCGGUCGGACCACCGUCGGGGCACCUUCGGCAAACCGACCAACGUAAAAAAGCUGUCGGUCUGCCGGCGUUUCUUGGGUGGCAAGCCACCAGCGGCUUGCCCCUGCUGGACCACCGAUGGUACACCAGUGGCAAACCGCCCCAGCAAACAAUGACCUGGCGGUCUGCCGGCGGUUUUUGGGUGGCACAAAGUCAGCGGCUUGACGCGGUCGGACCACCGUCGGGGCACCUUCGGCAAACCGACCAACGUAAAAAAGCUGUCUGUCUCCCGGCGUUUCUUGGGUGGCAAGCAACCAGCGGCUUGCCCCUGCCCACCGUUGGUACACCAGUGGCAAACUGCUAGGUUACUGAAACUAAGAAUUUUAAAAAUCUUAAGAAAAUACAUGAAAAACAAUAUGAGACUGCAUAUAGGGCUUAUUUAACGAAAUGCAUACAUAUUUUUUUAAUAUUUCAGUUUAAAAGAAUUUUAAGGAUAGAAUAAAAAAUGAGAGAUAGUGUUUGAUACAAUGUAGUCCACGUGCAGGCGUGGUAAUUUGGACAUUUAUAGACAACAAAACGAGUUUGUGAUUUCAUAAUCAUUUGAGGAGAUUUUAAAUUGUUGUAGUGAUUAUGUCAAUGUGUGAAUUUGCCAUGACGCGUGUGCUGUGCGUGCCGAACACGUGCCCUUUUUGGCUUGUUCGACUUCAUGCGGCGCUGCAAGAACCGACAGCUGUAUGACGUCAAAGUACCGCGAGAACGAUUCGAGAACUCAUACGAAGUGUAAUUUCGUCUCGCUCUCGCGGCACUUUAACGUCAUGCGUCUGUCAGUUCUAGCGGGGCCGCAGGCAGGAAGUCGAACAGCCGUCUUUCCCUCAAUACGGAUUACCAUGAGGUGGGACUGACGAAGCUCCUCUUUCACGGGUUUCUUUACUGUUUUCAGAUUUUCCUUGCUGAUAUCCGUGCAGCAGAGUCAAAGCAGACCUGUCAGAAAACAUCUCUAAGUUGCUAUGAAUCUCAUAACUAGAUACACAUCAUGAGAUAACUAGAGCUUAUGGCUCUGUUUGGAUCCAGCCUCACUUGUGAAGAAUUCAGAUGACGUAAACACUCACAAAGACAUUAUAUGAUGGCAUCUAUAGAUGGACAUACACAACUGCCAAAUGUAACAUAUUGUUAUUACUGCACCAAAGCGCAACCCUACAGAUUUUCAACCCACUUAAUAUUUUUACAAAUACAAUAUAUGUUUAUAUUUGAAAAAAAUAUUCUUUAGCUAAUUUUACUGAUUUAUUUCCAUUUAUUUGUCCACAAUACUCUGCCAAAAUGAUGUUUUGCAUCAUCCAAAUAUUGUUAAUGUACAUAUUACAGACAUUGUAACAACACAAAGUGGGUUGAAAAAGUUUCUUCUUCUAAGUGCAGUAACUACGCAAACACUAAAACCGAGAAAAAAGUUCUUAAAGUGUUUUACACCAGCGGGUCAAACUUGUUACUGCAAUUUUGGCAAACACAUUUCUCUGAUGGGACAAAAUUAAACCAGGAGACUUUGUCACAAGACAACAGAUCUCACAAAGCCCAUUUCAACCUUCACCUCAAUUUUGACCAAAUGCAUAGUUACUGCGCUUUGGCUUUGUUGGGCAGUAUAGUAGUAUUAUAGUAAUGCUGCAGUGAAACCAUGGUAACCAUAUAUUUUUAAAUCAUGGUAAAGUUUGUGGUUACUAAAAUGUAGUACUAUAAGCCUAUGCUGUUGUAAGAGAAUGUUUAUUCUUUAUUAUUGUUGUAAAAUCAUGGUUGAUUUUAUAUUUACCAUGUGUUACUGCAAAUGAUGGUAAAAUCAUGGAUAACUUUGCAUGGGUACAGAAAGGUGUAAACUGGUUGUUUUUAUUUGUAAGUCAUGUUGGUUUUAAUGCAUGUGAUAAAUGUAUAUGCAUUUGAAUAUUUAUUCUGUUUACUGACAAUAAUAAAUUUGCAGUUGCUGAUGUAAA